rnacentral:lncRNA from 1 species
CCCGCGCGCAGCCGCAGACGGCGGCGCGCCCGGGCCCCUGCCAGUCCCGGCUGGGUGGCCCUGCUGGGACCCCCUGUCAUCCCGGCUGCUGUCGGUUUUCUUCUAGGGACACAAUUUGUGUGUCUUUGCUUCUGUGUUCGCUUCCUUUUUAAUCUUUCCCGUCUUUCACCUUAAUUCUAAGUGAUCUCCCGCACUGUGUCGGCUAGACAGUUCCGAGAGAGGAUGCUCGCCUGCCUGCACCGAGAAGAGGUGCGGACGGGCUCCGCGAUGCUGCGACAGGGCGCUUCCUGGACGCUCACUACCAUCUGGAAGGCUUUCUGGUUAAAAAGAAGUUUAAGGAGAUAGAGACAGAAAAUGAGCAGGAAUCCCAAACAGGUAACCGUAUUCUAGAAAGAAAGAACAUAUCUAUGCAAAAGCCCAGAGGCCAGAAAGAACGAAUCUUCCUGAAAAAGAAAACUUGAGCUUAGAGGUACAAAAUGGCAUUAAGAGCCCCUGGGGUGGGCAGGACAAACAAGUCUUUAUAAACCAGGUAAUGGGGUUGGCCUUUUUGCUGAGGCCUGAGGGCAGCCGAAAGCCGCUGAGGGAUUUAAACCUGGGCGGGGCUGGAUCACAAAGCUGGGGCCUCAGAUCCAGGCUUUGUAGUGAUGGGGGGUAAAGUGGCCUCCUGGACUAUUGGGAGGGACUGUGUAAUAGAGAAGUGGACUCAGACUCUGGAGGGAACAGAGGAGCCCUGAAAGAGCCCUCUGGGACUGCCCUUCAGUGGGGAAGAAGAGGAGGAAGUGCAGUUGGAGAUGAAACCAUACAAGUUUGGGUGCCUAUUGGGACAUCCAGGUGGAAAGGACUUGGUACCACCUGGGAGGAAAUGCUGUCUAUUUGUGUGUCUUGCUAGAGGGCAUUUGGAGAGGGGUCUGCCAAGAGUUCCCUUAACCAUUUCAAAGGGUCACUGGAUAGUGCCUUCCAGAGGCAAGCAAGCCUAGCAUCCCAGAGGCCAUAGGGUAGCAUCUGGCACAGGGAGGAGGCCAAGAUUGAUCUCAUAGCCAGAAAACGAUGACAGGGCUUGAUACAGAAAUUCUCUGAACAGGCCUAGGAACCCUGGGUGUUCCAGGCUGCACCAGGCUGCACUACCCUGUACUACAGCCUCAUGUGUGUAGUCAGAAUUCAUUAAAAUUAAACUUUUGGUUCUUCAGUCACGUUAGCCACAUUUUAAGUGCUCAGUAGCCAUGUGUGACGUGAUAUCUAUCACAAAGGACAGCAAAAAUAUAAAACACUUCUAUCACCAGAAAAUUCUGUGCUCAAAAGGAUAGUGACCACUCAAGUCCUGAGUCCUGGGUACACACAGGACAUGACUAGUGCUGCUUGUCUUCCCCUGUUCCCCACAGAGCCAGUGGGACAGCCUCAUUCUGGGGAUGACGACCCAGACGUGGAAGGCUCAGAUCUCUCUCCCAGGGUGUACUAGAGAGGCAGGAUUUGAACCCAGAACAAGUGAUUUCCAGACCCACAGAGCUGCAUGGUAGCUCCCUCAGGAAGCUGAAGCCUACAGGAUCUCAUAGGUAGAAAGUGGAGAGGGGGUACAGUAUGGGCUGAGUCUUAUACUUCUAUAAUUUAUGUGGGAAAGUCCUAACUCCCAGACCCUCAGAAUGUGACUUCCAAUUCCAAAAAUUAAAAAAAAGGAAAGGAAAUUUUGACACAGAUGAGGACAACCAUGCAAAAACACGGGGAGAGGCCUCCAAGGAAGAGGCCCGAGGCCCUAGACUGCGCAGCCUCACAGCUUCCAGAUUCCUGCUGCUGAAGCCACAUUGGCUGUGAUAUUAAGGUAGCCUUGGAUCUAAUUCGGCCUCCCCACAGAUUGGGUCUUUUGUGUUAGCUGACUACAAUAUCGUGAGAGGGUUGGGGCUCAAGGAUGGAGCUCUCUCCCAGCCCUGGUUUCCAUCCCCAGCACCAUAAAGUAGAUAUAGAUUAAGUGCAACAUGUACACAGAAAGAGUUAACUCUUGCCAGGGGAGCAUCAGACCUGAGCAGGGUUGCACCUUGGAUAAAGGGUGAGGGACAGGCGAAGGCAGCAAGGUCCCCUGCAUCUUCUGCCAGGCUGUGUAACUAGGAUGUCAUCCCAUGGGCACCAGAGCCAGGAGCCACCAAAGGACUUUGGAAAACAGAUGUCUGGGCAGAGAAUGAUGCAAAGGAGAAAAGACUAGAAACAGGAAGGGCAUUUAAAAGGUCAGUGAUGAGUGGCCAGGACCAAGGUGGUGGUCAUGGAGAUUGAACUGACAGGAGAGACACAGCAGAAGAAGAGGAGGGACCAACUGAUCCAGUUAAAAGGGGGAGCAGGAGGAAUUGGGGUGCCUCCCCUGUGGGGCUUUCUGGGGGAUAUAAUGUCACUAGAAGAGAGUAGCCUAGGAUGAGGAAGAAUAAGCUCGGGACAUCUGGGUUCCACAAUUCUCCGAUUUUAGAGGCAAAAGCCAUGGGCAUGAGUGUGAGUGUGAGUGACCAGGGAGGGAGGAAGUUAUCUGCAACUAAGAAGUGUUGGAGAUUGGCACAGCUGAGAGGAGAUCAAGAAGAUGUAACAACUAAACAUCACGCAGGGUCCUAGACCGGAUCCUGAAACAGGAAAAGGAAAUUAGGUAAAAACUUAAGAAAUCUAAACAAAGUAUGGGCUUUAGUUUAAUAGUGUAUCAAUGUUGAAUCAUUC